ensembl:lncRNA
AGUUCCUCCUUAUCUCCAGUGAGCUUGGACUGCAGCAGAGAGGAUGCCUUUGCUACUAGAAAACAAAAGUUAUCAAGACUAAAAAAGUAGACAUCAACAUCUGUCCUUCAAACCCCAAAGCAUCAUGGGACAGCUGUUUUCCUCAGAAGAAGAGCGCUCUCGUGCCCGGGAUGCGAUUGGUGCGGUCCUGUUUGAUGCCAUGUUGGACGCCGGUGCCGUCCCAAACCUCAGAGUGGUUCACCCUCUGCUGCUGUCCAACGACGACACAGGCGCACGACCGGGACCCUCCAUCCAGGAACAAAUGCAGCAGUUGCAGAGAGACAUUGGAAGCAGAGCGCCUACCUAUCUGAGGGAUCUGAUUGGUCGACUGUCGGCGUUCACGGAUGAGCCCAGACUGGCGGGUUUGGUGGGGUCAGUGGUGUCGAUGGUUAUAGACAUGGCCUAUGCAUCGUCCAAACCGCCAUCAGGGAAGAACGCCGGCUCCUCCUCUCGACAGAGAGUUUCCGAGCUGCAGGAGUUGAUGGAGGAGUACCUGAAGCGCUGUAGGAUUAACCUGAACGACAAAAAUAAAUUAAUGCAGGACACAUCCAGACUGGAGACGCAACUCAGUCUGAAUCUCACGCAGCUGAAAACAUGUUUGCUCAGAGGAGACUGCGACUCCAGGUCUCUCAGGCAGUGGGCCAGUGGAGCGGCCUUUCACACCCAAAUGUUGGUGCAUCUGGCUGGACUCGAGGGUCAGAUGGAGGCUCUGGCUGCAAGAGGUGCCCUGCUGCAGUACAGAGAAGACCUGGAGCAGAUUAUUCCCGUCUAUAGGAAGUAUAAAGCCGGUACAGUCAGUGCGCUGAAAUGCCGAGGCAGCCUGUCAGCGUCGCAUGGAGAGUCCGGUGAUGUUCUCGAGGAAGGAGCCAUGACGGGUCUGACCGUAACUGACCGAGAAACCGGGGCGAGCGUGACUAUACCGCUGUGUGAGCUGCAGACGCAAACAG